AAAGUCGUAACAAGGUCUCCGUAGGUGAACCUGCGGAGGGAUCAUUACACAAUAUGAAAGCGGGCUGGACUCCCCCUAGCAGUGCAUUGCUUUACGGCGUGCGCUGUUAGCGGCCAGCCUUGCUGAAUUAUUCACCCGUGUCUUUUGCGUACUUCUUGUUUCCUUGGUGGGUUCGCCCACCACAAGGACAAACCAUUAAACCUUUUGUAAUUGCAAUCAGCGUCAGUAACAACAUAAUAAUUACAACUUUCAACAACGGAUCUCUUGGUUCUG
rnacentral:misc_RNA from 1 species